GAGGGGGCCAGCGUUGUCCGGAUUCAUUGGGCGUAAAGAGCGUGUAGGCGGUUCAAUAGGUCCGAUGUGAAAACUCGAGGGCUCAACCUCGAGAGGUCGUCGGAAACCAUUGAGCUAGAGUCCGGAAGAGGAGAGUGGAAUUCCUGGUGUAGCGGUGAAAUGCGCAGAUAUCAGGAAGAACACCGAUGGCGAAGGCAGCUCUCUGGGACGGUACUGACGCUGAGACGCGAAAGCGUGGGGAGCGAACAGGAUUAGAUACCCUGGUAGUCCACGCCGUAAACGAUGGGCACUAGGUGUGGGUGGUGUCGACUCCAUCCGUGCCGCAGCUAACGCAUUAAGUGCCCCGCCUGGGGAGUACGGCCGCAAGGCUA
rnacentral:rRNA from 1 species